UCGUCAGCUCGUGUCGUGAGAUGUUGGGUUAAGUCCCGCAACGAGCGCAACCCUUGCCUUUAGUUGCCAUCAUUAAGUUGGGCACUCUAGAGGGACUGCCAGGGAUAACCUGGAGGAAGGUGGGGAUGACGUCAAAUCAUCAUGCCCCUUAUGCUUAGGGCUACACACGUGCUACAAUGGGUGGUACAGAGGGCAGCCAAGUCGUGAGGCGGAGCUAAUCCCUUAAAGCCAUUCUCAGUUCGGAUUGUAGGCUGAAACUCGCCUACAUGAAGCUGGAGUUACUAGUAAUCGCAGAUCAGAAUGCUGCGGUGAAUGCGUUCCCGGGUCUUGUACACACCGCCCGUCACACCAUGGGAGUUGGGGGCGCCCGAAGCCGGUUAGCUAACCUUUUGGAAGCGGCCGUCGAAGGUGAAACCAAUAACUGGGGUGAAGUCGUAACAAGGUAGCCGUA
rnacentral:rRNA from 1 species